rnacentral:rRNA from 1 species
UCGAGUGGGUUUAGACCCACGGCGAACGGGUGAGUAAUACCUAGGAACGUAUCUUUAGUUGAGGAUAUUCCGUCGAAAGACGGUGCAAUACUCAAUGUGAUCGCAAGAUUAAAGUCGCAAGACGCUAAAGAAGCGGCCUGGGCACCAUCAGCUAGUUGGUAAGGUAAAAGCUUACCAAGGCUAUGACGGUUAGGGGUCCCGAGAGGGAGAACCCCCACACUGGAACUGCGACACGGUCCAG